UGUGGGAGCGGGCUUGCCCGCGAUUGCGUUGUGUCAGCCAUGGAAAUGUCGACUGAUCCGCCGCUAUCGCGGGCAAGCCCGCUCCCACA
rnacentral:misc_RNA from 1 species